AGCCAGACUCCUACGGGAGGCAGCAGUGGGGAAUAUUGCACAAUGGGGGAAACCCUGAUGCAGCGACGCCGCGUGAGUGAAGAAGUAUUUCGGUACGUAAAGCUCUAUCAGCAGGGAAGAAAAAAAGUCCUUUGGACUUUGGACGGUACCUGACUAAGAAGCCCCGGCUAACUACGUGCCAGCAGCCGCGGUAAUACGUAGGGGGCAAGCGUUAUCCGGAUUUACUGGGUGUAAAGGGAGCGUAGACGGCAGCGCAAGUCUGGAGUGAAAUGCCGGGGCCCAACCCCGGAACUGCUUUGGAAACUGUGCAGCUGGAGUGCAGGAGGGGCAGGCGGAAUUCCUGGUGUAGCGGUGAAAUGCGUAGAUAUCAGGAGGAACACCGGUGGCGAAGGCGGCCUGCUGGACUGCAACUGACGUUGAGGCCCGAAAGCGUGGGGAGCAAACAGGAUUAGAUACCCGUGUA
rnacentral:rRNA from 1 species